rnacentral:rRNA from 1 species
GACGAACGCUGGCGGCGUGCUUAACGCAUGCAAGUCGAACGGAAAGGCCCUGCUUUUGUGGGGUGCUCGAGUGGCGAACGGGUGAGUAACACGUGAGUAACCUGCCCUUGACUUUGGGAUAACUUCAGGAAACUGGGGCUAAUACCGGAUAGGAGCUCCUGCUGCAUGGUGGGGGUUGGAAAGUUUCGGCGGUUGGGGAU